AAACAGACCCUCUGUGGCUGACUUCAAAUCUCUGCUCAGCUCAGCACAGGCUGUGUCCCAGAGGACCGGGCACUUUUCUCUGAGCGCGUUGGUUUCUCAUCUUAGUGGAAGACUCAGUCCUAGGCCCGUGGGGAAAGUGGCGUUGUUUCUGCAGUCUGGGCAAACAGGAACGCAGCCGUCAGGUGUUGGGCCCAGCACCAGUCCCUGUGUUCAUGGACCGAGAGGACCUGGUACAGUUGAGGCCGUGCCGGCAGCAGGACUGCUCAGCUUGCAACCCGAUGGACUGCAACUGGAGGCCCUGAGCAGAGUCACUGAGGGCCAGGCUCCAGCAGCAACGGGGCGGAGCUUACAAAGUGACCCUGCCCACCCUCGAUUACAAACCACACCCUUAGUGAUAGUCCUGGAAGACUACAAUUCCCAGGAGAGAGCACGACAGCGGCGACAGCAGCGCGUGCGUAAGCGUCCACGCCAGAGAGCGCGUAGGGGGCGAGUCCUGCGAGCCGAUUGGUCAGCAUCAAGAGCCGCUGCUGUAUUCGCGGAAAACGCGCGCUGGCAUCUGCGCCUGCAGUACUGUUUUCUACGGUUGUUGGCUGUUGCAGAGGCGGCAUGGAUCUCAGCGAACUGAGAACCAAAAAAAAAAAAAAACUUUUAUAAUACUCAGGAGGCAGAGGCAGGAGGAUCUCUGUGAAUUUGAGGCCAUCCUGGUUUACAUAGUGUUCUCCACAAUAGCUAGGGCUACAUAGAAAGACCGUCUCGAAAAACAAAACAAAAUUGUAUUUUAUGGAUAUAGGUAUUUUGCCAGCAUGUAUGCCUGGGCACCAUGUGCACAUUUGGUACCUGCAGAGAACAUGGCGCAUACACGUAAAAUUCAAAAAGCAUUUUCUCUUCUUUUUAAGAUUUAUUUAUUGUGUAUACAGCGUUCUUCCUGCAUGUGUGCCUGCACUCCAGAAGAGGGCAUCAGAUCCCAUCACAGAUGGUUGUGAGCCACCAUGUGGUUGCUGGGAAUUGAACUCGGGACCUCUGAUAGAGCAGCAAGCACUGGUGGGUCACAGAGUAGGGGAUGGUGGGGAGCCACACUUAGCCCGGGCAAUUUGACACUUAAACAAUGGCAGGUGCCUUGGUACUCAAGAAGUCAAAAACACAGAACUUUAAUCCCAGCUCCAGAGGCAGAGGCAGGUGGAUGGCUAGCCUGGUCUACAUAGUGAAACUCCAUCUCAACAAGAAAAAAGGCAAAGCAGCUAAGGAUGAACAUGGCAUAUGCCUGUCACCUGCCACGCUGAUGCUGUCACCAUUACCUCUGUCUCCCUAGAUCCCAAGACCAAAGCCUGGCUGAGGAAACAUGUGGACCCUGUGUUUGGCUUCCCCCAGUUUGUACGGUUCAGUUGGAGCACAGCCCAGGCCAUCCUGGAAAAGGAGGCAGAAAGUGUCACCUGGGAAGACUCAGCAGCUGAGGAGGAUCCUGAGGGACCCGGAAGAAUCACCUCCUACUUCAGCCAGGGCCCGCAGGCCUGCCGCCCUCAGGUCUCCCACAAAUACUUCCAGGAGCGAGGCCUGGAGACAGCCACCAGCCUCUAGGAGCCAAUGUGUGUACCUCCCCUUCUAACUCACAAUAAAAGCUGUUCAAG
rnacentral:lncRNA from 1 species